rnacentral:rRNA from 1 species
AUUGAACGCUGGCGGCAUGCUUUACACAUGCAAGUCGAACGGCAGCGCGGGCUUUGGCCUGGCGGCGAGUGGCGAACGGGUGAGUAAUACAUCGGAACGUGCCCAGUAGUGGGGGAUAGCUCGGCGAAAGCCGGAUUAAUACCGCAUACGACCUGAGGGUGAAAGCGGGGGAUCUUCGGACCUCGCGCUAUUGGAGCGGCCGAUGGCAGAUUAGCUAGUUGGUGGGGUAAAGGCCUACCAAGGCGACGAUCUGUAGCUGGUCUGAGAGGACGACCAGCCACACUGGGACUGAGACACGGCCCAGGCUCCUACGGGAGGCAGCAGUGGGGAAUUUUGGACAAUGGGCGAAAGCCUGAUCCAGCAAUGCCGCGUGUGUGAUGAAGGCCUUCGGGUUGUAAAGCACUUUUGGCGGGAACGAAAAGGACUGUGCCAAUACCACGGUUCGAUGACGGUACCCGCAGAAUAAGCACCGGCUAACUACGUG